ACGGAGGAUGCAAGCGUUAUCCGGAUUCAUUGGGUUUAAAGGGUGCGCAGGCGGAAUGAUAAGUCAGUGGUGAAAUCCUACGGCUCAACUGUAGAACUGCCAUUGAUACUGUUGUUCUUGAGUACACUUGGAGUGGGCGGAAUGUGUCGUGUAGCGGUGAAAUGCGUAGAUAUGACAAGGAACACCGAUCGCGAAGGCAGCUCACUAGGUUGUAACUGACGCUCAGGCACGAAAGCGUGGGGAGCAAACAG
rnacentral:rRNA from 1 species